UCACAGUCACGUAAUCAACCAUUUUACUAAAUACAAGCAAAUUCUCAUUCACAUACAGCUAAAGAAAACAUUUUUUUCCACAUUUCAUUACAAUGCACAACAAAGUGAGGGAAAGUUUACAGUACAUUUUAUUCUGGAAUAGGAGACAAUCUAAUCCAACAUGCAGUUGUGGUCUUUGUUACAAGUUAGUUGAUCUUUUCUUUUACCUAUGUAGUAAAAUAGCUUCUAAAGCUUUAUCCUUAGUAUUGUAUUAACACCUGAUUUUUUCACACGUAUUUUCUAAAACCCACUUAUUGCAGUGACAACAGCACUGAAUUCUACUAAAAUGAUUUUUAAGAUUUCUAGAACUUGUGUAAGCAAUUAAGCUCAGCCACCUUUGCUGGGUCCUAUGCUGAGUAUUUUUAAACCUGCCUAAAACAAUGCAAGGAAUGGGAACAGUAUACAUAGAGUGUAUUUGAGACAAGAAAACCAUAAAGAAGUUUUGUUUCUCUACUCUUUUGGAACUGACAGGAUCCACUCAACUCACUUAUGCACUGGGAAAUCUUGCUUCCAGAAUCUUCUUGAUAUAAUUCACUAUAGUAGUCGAUGAAACUUUGCAUCACUCCCACUGACCAUCUUUUAUUUGCCUUCUAAAACCACAAAGCUGGCAACUUAAUGACUCCACCCAAGCCAGGUCAUGUGAAAUGAAUGUUGAGGUGAUGAUUGAUUCACUUGUAGUUGAUGCUGCAGGUUCGUCCGAGGCGGUUGUUUCCGUAGUUUUCAUUAUUUGGCUGCUUCAUUCUGGCGGAAGUUAAGUUCUCAAACUUUGUUCAGAUUCAGUCACAUUCAUACUGAAGUUCAAUAUUAUAUGUCACAGCAAUUUACCAUCGCCAGGCUUUCCUAUCACAAUGGAUACGCGACACCUGACUACUCAGAAUUGUUUUCUCACUGGGAAAAGUAUGGCUUUUGCCUAGCUCGACUGGCUACAAUCCAGAGAAUAAUUUAAAGCACGAUCUCUCUUCAAGAACGUAAUGGAACCUUAAGCCAACCAUCUCGAUUUUCUGAUGUAGUUAGUUAGAUGUCUGUUCACCUGAGAAUUAAGAGCUGACUCUCUAGGGUAGACAAGGACCCAGUGUAGGUAUAUGGCAAACAGGUGGCUAAGGUCAUUGUGAGGUGAGUGUCUUAUCCCCAUCCCACCCCCCAUUGCUGUAUUUGGUUCCUUUCAAGGAUCUGUCCACUGUGUUUCAGUGACAAGAACACUUGUAGCCCACACAGUUUUAAUGUUCUUAGUUGUGCAAUCAUUCACUUGUUUAAAGCCCUCUUGUCAUUAAUACCUGAAUUGGCUUUACCUUUUGUUUCAUCCCCGGGUUCCCUUAGGAUUAUAGCUGAGUCGUGAGCAAUAAGGAAACAUAUCCUAACACGCAGAGAACAUUUAUUUACAGUCAUAUCUCUUCCAAAGUAAACAAAUGAGUAACAGUUCAUUCAUCUGACAGCAGGAACAAGAUGAUGCCGUGGGGCACGGGCUAGCAGUCGGUAGACCUUCCCCUUAGCCAAGUGAGUCUCCUGCUUCUUAGUUUACUCUCUUGUAAAAUGGGGAAGAAAACCUCACAGGCCUGUUGUGAUGAUCAGUAAGUAAUUCAGGGGACCGUGGAGCACGUGCGAGGGCCACAGCGCCUCUUGCUGGGCAGGUGCUCAGUGCAGGGUCGAUUAGCAAACGUUUGCCCCCGGGGCUCGUUUCACAGGCCGUCCCUGUACCUGUGCGUUGCCGCCGGGCCCCUGAAGACAGCCAGGUGAACCCCUAGGCAUGGUCGCGGGGGACAGAGGGUAGGGCAUGGAUCGCGAGGUUUCUUUGUUCUACUUAUCUGCUAAUUUGCAUGGGACGGUUCCUUGCACACGGUUGGUUACUCCAUCACCAGGGUGCGCGUUUGCUGGGCCGCGGGAACACGGUAUGCGCAGUGCCCCCCCUUUUCACAGUCCCACCAGUCUUACUAGAACAACAGGCCUUGAGAGGGUCUUAGGAAAUAGCUGGUCCGUGCCCCUCAUUCUACAGGUGAGCUGUGUAGAGGCUGGUCGGUACCUUUUGACCAGACCCAGCACACCCACUUGGUGUAGGCCACUCUCACUGAUGAAGUCGAUCUCACACUCCUUUUUAGUGCUGCUAAUCGUUUCCAAUGUGAGACUGUUCCCCCCCUGACAGAUUUCUUUACGUGUGUGACCUACGAG
rnacentral:lncRNA from 1 species